AUGCACGCUGGCGGCGUGCCUAAUACCUGCAAGUCGCGCGAACAGACGAGGAGCUUGCUCCUCUGACGUUAGCGGCGGACGGGUGAGUAACACGUGGAUAACCUACCUAUAAGACUGGGAUAACUUCGGGAAACCGGAGCUAAUACCGGAUAAUAUAUUGAACCGCUUGGUUCAAUAGUGAAAGACGGUUUUGCUGUCACUUAUAGAUGGAUCCGCGCCGCAUUAGCUAGUUGGUAAGGUAACGGCUUACCAAGGCAACGAUGCGUAGCCGACCUGAGAGGGUGAUCGGCCACACUGGAACUGAGACACGGUCCAGACUCCUACGGGAGGCAGCAGUAGGGAAUCUUCCGCAAUGGGCGAAAGCCUGACGGAGCAACGCCGCGUGAGUGAUGAAGGUCUUCGGAUCGUAAAACUCUGUUAUUAGGGAAGAACAAAUGUGUAAGUAACUAUGCACGUCUUGACGGUACCUAAUCAGAAAGCCACGGCUAACUACGUG
rnacentral:rRNA from 1 species